UACACGGGGCUGUACCGCCGGUCGAUGCGCAUCGUCAUCUCCGGGAUCAUCCUCAUGAUAUCCUGCUUCUCCAUGCUC
rnacentral:SRP_RNA from 1 species